GCCCCUGUAGCUCAAUUGGCCAGAGCCGCUGACCCGUAAUCAGCAGGUUGUCAACUCGGAUUUGACCGGGGGCUCCA
rnacentral:tRNA from 1 species